UGCAGUCGACGCUGAGUCUGGUGCUUGCACCGGGUGGAUGAGUGGCGAACGGGUGAGUAAUACGUGAGUGACCUGCCUUUGACUCUGGGAUAAGCCUGGGAAACUGGGUCUAAUACCGGAUGCGACUACUGCCCGCAUGGGCUGGUGGUGGAAAGGGUUAUGUACUGGUCUUAGAUGGGCUCACGGCCUAUCAGCUGGUUGGUGGGGUAAUGGCCUACCAAGGCGACGACGGGUAGCCGGCCUGAGAGGGUGACCGGCCACACUGGGACUGAGACACGGCCCAGACUCCUACGGGAGGCAGCAGUGGGGAAUAUUGCACAAUGGGCGCAAGCCUGAUGCAGCGACGCCGCGUGAGGGAUGACGGCCUUCGGGUUGUAAACCUCUUUCAGCAGGGAAGAAGCGGAAGUGACGGUACCUGCAGAAGAAGCGCCGGCUAACUACGUGCCAGCAGCCGCGGUAAUACGUAGGGCGCAGCGUUGUCCGGAAUUAUUGGGCGUAAAGAGCUCGUAGGCGGCUUGUCGCGUCUGCUGUGAAAGCCCGGGGCUUAACUCCGGGUGUGCAGUGGGUACGGGCAGGCUAGAGUGCAGUAGGGGUAACUGGAAUUCCUGGUGUAGCGGUGAAAUGCGCAGAUAUCAGGAGGAACACCGAUGGCGAAGGCAGGUUACUGGGCUGUUACUGACGCUGAGGAGCGAAAGCAUGGGGAGCGAACAGGAUUAGAUACCCUGGUAGUCCAUGCCGUAAACGUUGGGCACUAGGUGUGGGGGACAUUCCACGUUUUCCGCGCCGUAGCUAACGCAUUAAGUGCCCCGCCUGGGGAGUACGGCCGCAAGGCUAAAACUCAAAGGAAUUGACGGGGGCCCGCACAAGCGGCGGAGCAUGCGGAUUAAUUCGAUGCAACGCGAAGAACCUUACCAAGGCUUGACAUACACCGGAUCGUUCCAGAGAUGGUUCUUCCCUUUUGGGCUGGUGUACAGGUGGUGCAUGGUUGUCGUCAGCUCGUGUCGUGAGAUGUUGGGUUAAGUCCCGCAACGAGCGCAACCCUCGUUCUAUGUUGCCAGCACGUGAUGGUGGGGACUCAUAGGAGACUGCCGGGGUCAACUCGGAGGAAGGUGGGGAUGACGUCAAAUCAUCAUGCCCCUUAUGUCUUGGGCUUCACGCAUGCUACAAUGGCCGGUACAAUGGGUUGCGAUACUGUGAGGUGGAGCUAAUCCCAAAAAGCCGGUCUCAGUUCGGAUUGGGGUCUGCAACUCGACCCCAUGAAGUCGGAGUCGCUAGUAAUCGCAGAUCAGCAACGCUGCGGUGAAUACGUUCCCGGGCCUUGUACACACCGCCCGUCAAGUCACGAAAGUUGGUAACACCCGAAGCCGAUGGCCUAACCCUUGUGGAGGGAGUCGUCG
rnacentral:rRNA from 1 species